rnacentral:rRNA from 1 species
UCCGGUUGAUCCUGCCGGAGGCGACUGCUAUUGGGGUUCGGCUUAGGCAUGCAAGUCGUGCGAUACAGCGGCACACGGCUCCGUAACACGUGGAUAACCUACCCACAGGAAAGGGAUAACCCUGGGAAACUGGGGCUAAUACCUUAUAGGCAAGGAAAGCUGGAAGGCUUUCUUGCUCAAAGGGCCACCGCCCGUGGAUGGGUCCGCGCCUGAUUAGGCUGUUGAUAGGGUAAAGGCCUACCAAACCUGUGAUCAGUACGGGCAAUGAGAGUUGGUGCCUGGAGAUGGGGACUGAGACAAGGCCCCAUGCCCUACGGGGCGCAGCAGCUACGAAAACUUUGCAAUGCCCGAAAGGGUGACAAGGGGACCCCAAGUGCUUCCGUUUUACGGAAGCUUUUCUCUGGCUUAAGGAACCAGGGGAAUAAGAGCUGGGUAAGACCGGUGCCAGCCGCCGCGGUAACACCGGCAGCUCGAAUGGUUGCCGCGUUUAUUGGACCUAAAGCGUUCGUAGCCGGACAUGUAAGUCUCCAGGUAAAUUGCGCGUUUAAUCGUGCGAAUUCUGGAGAAAACUGCCUGUCUUGAGGCCGGGAGAGGUGAGAGGUACUCCGAGGGUAGCGGUAAAAUGCUAUAAUCCUCGGGGGACCACCGGUGGCGAAGGCGUCUCACUGGAACGGCCCUGACGGUGAGUAACGAAACCUAGGGGAGCGAGCCGGAUUAGAUACCCGGGUAGUCCUAGGCGUAAAUUAUGCGGAUAAAGUGUGGCGUUAUCUACGAGAUAACGCUGUGCCGUAGGGAAGCCGUUAAGUCCGCCGUCUGGGGAGUACGGUCGCAAGGCUGAAACUUAAAGGAAUUGGCGGGGGAGCACCACAAGGGGUGGAGGCUGCGGUUUAAUUGAUCAACGCCGGACAACUCACCGGGGGCGACAGCAGAAUGAGGGUCAAGCUGAUGACUUUGCCUGACAAGCUGAGAGGAGGUGCAUGGCCGCCGACAGUUCGUACCGUGAGGUGUCCUGUUAAGUCAGGUAACGAACGAGACCCCUGCCCGCAGUUACCAGCAGAUGCUCUGGCAUGAUGGGGACUCUGCGGGGACCGCUUUUGCUAAAAAAGAGGAAGGAGGGGGCAACGGUAGGUCAGUAUGCCCCGAAUCUCCCGGGCUACACGCGGCCUACAAUGGGUGCGACAAUGAGUUCCGACCCCGAGAGGGGAAGGUAAUCCCCUAAACGCACUCUUAGUACGGAUCGAGGGCUGAAACCCGCCCUCGUGAAGCUGGAAUCCCUAGUAAUCGCGUGUCAUUAUCGCGCGGUGAAUACGUCCCUGCUCCUUGCACACACCGCCCGUCAAAUCACCUGAGUGGGGCUUGGGUGAGAGCCUGAAUAAACAGGUUCGAAUCUGAGUUCCGCAAGGGGGGUUAAGUCGUAACAAGGUA